GACAAGGUGGCUUAGUGGAUAACGCACCUGCCUUGUAAGCAGGAGACCCAGGUUCGAUUCCUGGCCUUGAUACA